rnacentral:rRNA from 1 species
GACGAACGCUGGCGGCGUGCCUAAUACAUGCAAGUCGAGCGGAAAUUUUAUUGGUGCUUGCACCUUUGAAAUUUUAGCGGCGGACGGGUGAGUAACACGUGGGUAACCUGCCUUAUAGAUUGGGAUAACUCCGGGAAACCGGGGCUAAUACCGAAUAAUACUUUUAAACACAUGUUUUGAAGUUGAAAGACGGUUUCGGAUGUCGCUAUAAGAUGGACCCGCGGCGCAUUAGCUAGUUGGUGAGGUAACGGCUCACCAAGGCAACGAUGCGUAGCCGACCUGAGAGGGUGAUCGGCCACACUGGGACUGAGACUCGGCCCAGACUCCUACGGGAGGCAGCAGUAGGGAAUCUUCCACAAUGGACGAAAGUCUGAUGGAGCAACGCCGCGUGAGUGAAGAAGGAUUUCGGUUCGUAAAACUCUGUUGCAAGGGAAGAACAAGUAGCGUAGUAACUGGCGCUACCUUGACGGUACCUUGUUAGAAAGCCACGGCUAACUACGUGCCAGCAGCCGCGGUAA